GACGAACGCUGGCGGCGUGCUUAACACAUGCAAGUCGAACGGAAAGGCCCUGCUUUUGUGGGGUGCUCGAGUGGCGAACGGGUGGGUAACACGUGAGUAACCUGCCCUUGACUUUGGGAUAACUUCAGGAAACUGGGGCUAAUACCGGAUAGGAGCUCCUGCUGCAUGGUGGGGGUUGGAAAGUUUCGGCGGUUGGGGAUGGACUCGCGGCUCAGCUUGUUGGUGGGGUAGUGGCUUACCAAGGCUUUGACGGGUAGCCGGCCUGAGAGGGUGACCGGCCACAUUGGGACUGAGAUACGGCCCAGACUCCUACGGGAGGCAGCAGUGGGGAAUAUUGCACAAUGGGCGGAAGCCUGAUGCAGCAACGCCGCGUGCGGGAUGACGGCCUUCGGGUUGUAAACCGCUUUCGCCUGUGACGAAGCGUGAGUGACGGUAAUGGGUAAAGAAGCACCGGCUAACUACGUG
rnacentral:rRNA from 1 species